UUUAUAAGAUAUCCAUGCAAUCUCUUCUCAUUUCAAUUGAUUGGGUCGAAAAAUCAAUCUAGAAUUUGUUGCAUCACUCGAUCCAGUUAUCUUGAAAAUUGUAACUAAUAAAGACUUUUUAUUUAGCAUAUUAAAAGCUGCUUGUGGUUCUAAUUUUCGUUGUUUUUUUUUUCCCACUUUUUCUUUGUUAAAUCGAGUUUGGCAUCUCAACUUGUGCUCAAUUAAUACAAAAGUUUAUGUAUUCUAUGAACCUCUUGAUACAAACAUCUGAUUCUUGGUUUUUCAGUGGCAUCAGUUGCAACAAGUCCUUUUCUGAGGCAAACAGUUGUGCCAAUUUCUUGUAGAGCACCCAUUUUACUUGCAAGUUCUGUUUCUUGGUUCUUACAAUAUAUUGCAAAAGCAAUUUUCUGAUCAUGAUAGAGUAGUUGACCAAACGAACUUCUGGGUGCUUCAUAAUUUAGAGAAAAAAGUCUUUUGUUCCCCAUAUGGUAAGUUUUGCUUCUAGUUUGUGCAGUAGAUUGCAACGGCAAUUCUUCUGAUUGCUUGGUAAUUUAGAGAAAGAAACCUUUUGUCCCUCGUGCAUCAUGGUCAAAAGCCAGUUCUUGGUACUUUGAACAACAGAGACCUGGCAAAUCAACCUGUUGUGGUACUUGGUUGAUGUGAGCUCUCAUAAUUAAACCAAUCACUCUAUUUUGAUGGUGAUAAUAUGGAGAUGAUUUUCUCUGGAUGUGCUUGAAGGUUCUGUUUUUAACAAAUUCAGUAUCUGAAAUAGAAUACAAUCACCAGAAUCUUGUAUUGAAUUAUUGAUUGAGCCUCUUAAAAGUUUAGUUCUUUACUAGGAACUCGGCUCACGCUAUUUUUUGUAACUUUUGCAGCUAUAGCUGUCUCAAGGGAUCACAAGCCUGACCAAACAGAUGAGAGAGCAAAGGAUUGAGGAUGCUGGGGGCUUUGUAAUGUGGGCUGGGACAUGGCGUGUCGGUGGUGUUCUUGCCGUUUCUCGUGCAUUUGGUGAUAGGCACCUGAAACAGUUUGUUGUCGCAGAUCCAGAAAUUCAUGUGGAAGCGGUUGAUGGAUCUCUCGAAUUCCUCAUCCUUGCAAGUGACUGAUUGUGGGAUGUUGUCACGAACGAAUGAGGAGGCGGUGGUAGCUAUUGUCAAACCCCUACAAGAUCCAGAACAAGCAGCAAAGAAACUGUUACAGGAGGCCUAUCAAAGGGGUAGUUCUGACAACAUCACUUGGUGUCGUGGUACAGUUUCUUGGCUAGCCUUGAUAACACAACCGAGCAGCAAUAGGUACAAAUUGUCUGCUUGAUCUUUGUUAUCGCUUUGUUAUCUGUAAUGGUUUAGUGGAGUCUGUAUCAUGCUGUUUUCACUUUUGUUAGAAUAAUCAAUAAGAUUGUUUGGUUAGAGUGCCUAAAUUUCUUCCUGAAUAGUCGUUUAUAUAUACAUACCAUUUUUACCAUUUGGAAUUUACUCCUGCAAUUAAAGUAGCUCAAGUUUGGUAAUUUAAGCCUCAAGGAACAAUUUUGAUAUGCCCCCUAUGAAAGCAAAAUGAGACCCAUGAAAGAAGGUCUCUUAUUGAGUUUGUAUUAUAAAUGUUGGCAGGAAGAUUAGUUUCACAUGGAUACAGAAUUGAAGUGUCUAAUGAUACAUAGUGGAGUUUGAUUGUGAUAGUUUCCAUGGUAACUUUGACCAUUUUGACGUAGAUUCAAAGGUAAAGCCGUAUAACCAUUCUUCGUGAUUGAUCCAUCAAAGGGUCAUGCCCAUGUCUUAUCUAGCGUGGCAGAUGCGCGGAUGUGUUUGAAUAGAAUAGAAUAGAAUAGAAUCUAACCUAUUAAUUUGUUGUUUGCGCCCAUUAACAAAAAUUAUAGGUCCCAUGGCAUCCAAGAAGGAUAGGAACAUCGAAGUUACUUUUUAUUAACCCUACACAGUUUGCCUCGUGCAAAAGAGUCUACCUUAGCCUUCAUAUUCUCCUCGUCUGUUGUCGACACAACCUUUCUUGACUCGGACACAAAAAAAAGGAAGAGAAAAAUAAACCAAAAGAAGGCUAAUGGAGUUGGGGACAACGACCGAUGGAAUGAACAAGUUGAUCGACCCACUGCCGACGACGCUUUCAGCAGAGCAGCGAGAACAGAAAAAAGGAGACGAAAAGUUGGUUCACCGGGGAAAUGGAGGAGGGUGCCGAAAGCGGCGUUAAGACGUGGAUCCUGGCAUUUCUCUUUUGUCGAGGACAGCCGUAGAGAUGCCACAACGUCGAAGCUGCUGCCUCGCUCCUCCAAUUUACUCCUUCGCCCUUCCCUCUCCCUCCAAAUUUGCUGCUCAGCUUCUUCUCCUCUUCUCCUCCACCACAAGGAUUCCUCUCCGAGCCGACCACCUUGUGAGGUGUGCUUCUCUUUGCUCCUCUCAAGGGAAUCCUGUGGCCUCCACUGCCUUCGUCUUCAGUUCUUGAUCUCCGCAGCCAUGGGCUCCGAGGCGGUCGUCGUCGUCGUAGGUGAAUUGCCUCUGCUUCCGCCCAUAAAGACUGCGCCGACGCGGGACAAGCCCGUGGAAGGCCGUCCCGAUGCUGCCGAAACCGAAGAGGAAGAGUGCGUCACACCAAAAGGCGGAAGAGACCGUUCUCAAGCCCGUCCUUGUUUGUACGCCGGCGAAGAGAAAGCCGAAGCCGGCGAAGAGGGUACCGCCGGCUCCUUCCAUGGAAUUCCACGCCGUUACUCCCGAUCUUACCUCGGUCUUCCUUCCUCUCCCUCCCAAGAAGAGAAUUCGUGUAGUUUGAUCUGAAGUUUCUUCACCAAUCUCCUGUAACUCCUUCUGUUCCCCUUCUGUUUUCCCGUGUGCCUGGUAAAAGAUUUUAUUUCCUUUUAUUGUUUUCUUUUCUUCCUUAGACGAAACAAAGACCAUCAAGCACUUUGUGUAACAUGAGGAGAACUGUCCUCCACAUCAUGCUGCAAUGUGUACAUAUAUCGGACA